GGGCAUGUAGUAUAGUUGGUUAUUGCGUCCGCUUCGCAUCCCGGCGAAAUCUAUGCGCAAGGUCUGGCGUUCGAAUCGCCACUUGUCCA